AGAGUUUGAUCCUGGCUCAGGACGAACGCUGGCGGCGUGCUUAACACAUGCAAGUCGAACGGAAAGGCCCCUUUGGGGGUACUCGAGUGGCGAACGGGUGAGUAACACGUGAGUAACCUGCCCUUGACUUCGGGAUAACUUCAGGAAACUGGGGCUAAUACCGGAUAGGAAUCCUUGCUGCAUGGUGGGGGUUGGAAAGCUUCGGCGGUUUUGGAUGGACUCGCGGCUUAUCAGCUUGUUGGUGGGGUAGUGGCUUACCAAGGCUUUGACGGGUAGCCGGCCUGAGAGGGCGACCGGCCACAUUGGGACUGAGAUACGGCCCAGACUCCUACGGGAGGCAGCAGUGGGGAAUAUUGCACAAUGGGCGGAAGCCUGAUGCAGCAACGCCGCGUGCGGGAUGACGGCCUUCGGGUUGUAAACCGCUUUCAGCAGGGGCGAAGCUUGUGGUGACGGUACCUGCAGAAGAAGCACCGGCUAACUACGUGCCAGCAGCCGCGGUGAUACGUAGGGUGCGAGCGUUGUCCGGAUUUAUUGGGCGUAAAGAGCUCGUAGGUGGUUGAUUGCGUCGGAAGUGAAAACUUGGGGCUUAACCCUGAGCGUGCUUUCGAUACGGGUUGACUUGAGGAAGGUAGGGGAGAAUGGAAUUCCUGGUGGAGCGGUGGAAUGCGCAGAUAUCACGAGGAACACCAGUGGCGAAGGCGGUUCUCUGGAUCUUUCCUGACGCUGAGGAGCGAAAGCGUGGGGAGCGAACAGGCUUAGAUACCCUGGUAGUCCACGCUGUAAACGGUGGGUACUAGGUGUGGGGUCCAUUCCACGGAUUCCGUGCCGUAGCCAACGCAUUAAGUACCCCGCCUGGGGAGUACGGCCGCAAGGCUAAAACUCAAAGGAAUUGACG
rnacentral:rRNA from 1 species